CAGUACCGUGAGGGAAAGGCGAAAAGAACCCCGGCGAGGGGAGUGAAAAAGAACCUGAAACCGUGUACGUACAAGCAGUGGGAGCCUCUUAAUGGGGUGACUGCGUACCUUUUGUAUAAUGGGUCAGCGACUUAUAUUCUGUAGCAAGGUUAACCGAAUAGGGGAGCCGAAGGGAAACCGAGUCUUAACUGGGCGUUAAGUUGCAGGGUAUAGACCCGAAACCCGGUGAUCUAGCCAUGGGCAGGUUGAAGGUUGGGUAACACUAACUGGAGGACCGAACCGACUAAUGUUGAAAAAUUAGCGGAUGACUUGUGGCUGGGGGUGAAAGGCCAAUCAAACCGGGAGAUAGCUGGUUCUCCCCGAAAGCUAUUUAGGUAGCGCCUCGUGAAUUCAUCUCCGGGGGUAGAGCACUGUUUCGGCAAGGGGGUCAUCCCGACUUACCAACCCGAUGCAAACUGCGAAUACCGGAGAAUGUUAUCACGGGAGACACACGGCGGGUGCUAACGUCCGUCGUGAAGAGGGAAACAACCCAGACCGCCAGCUAAGGUCCCAAAGUCAUGGUUAAGUGGGAAACGAUGUGGGAAGGCCCAGACAGCCAGGAUGUUGGCUUAGAAGCAGCCAUCAUUUAAAGAAAGCGUAAUAGCUCACUGGUCGAGUCGGCCUGCGCGGAAGAUGUAACGGGGCUAAACCAUGCACCGAAGCUGCGGCAGCGACACUAUGUGUUGUUGGGUAGGGGAGCGUUCUGUAAGCCUGCGAAGGUGUACUGUGAGGUAUGCUGGAGGUAUCAGAAGUGCGAAUGCUGACAUAAGUAACGAUAAAGCGGGUGAAAAGCCCGCUCGCCGGAAGACCAAGGGUUCCUGUCCAACGUUAAUCGGGGCAGGGUGAGUCGACCCCUAAGGCGAGGCCGAAAGGCGUAGUCGAUGGGAAACAGGUUAAUAUUCCUGUACUUGGUGUUACUGCGAAGGGGGGACGGAGAAGGCUAUGUUGGCCGGGCGACGGUUGUCCCGGUUUAAGCGUGUAGGCUGGUUUUCCAGGCAAAUCCGGAAAAUCAAGGCUGAGGCGUGAUGACGAGGCACUACGGUGCUGAAGCAACAAAUGCCCUGCUUCCAGGAAAAGCCUCUAAGCAUCAGGUAACAUCAAAUCGUACCCCAAACCGACACAGGUGGUCAGGUAGAGAAUACCAAGGCGCUUGAGAGAACUCGGGUGAAGGAACUAGGCAAAAUGGUGCCGUAACUUCGGGAGAAGGCACGCUGAUAUGUAGGUGAAGUCCCUCGCGGAUGGAGCUGAAAUCAGUCGAAGAUACCAGCUGGCUGCAACUGUUUAUUAAAAACACAGCACUGUGCAAACACGAAAGUGGACGUAUACGGUGUGACGCCUGCCCGGUGCCGGAAGGUUAAUUGAUGGGGUUAGCGCAAGCGAAGCUCUUGAUCGAAGCCCCGGUAAACGGCGGCCGUAACUAUAACGGUCCUAAGGUAGCGAAAUUCCUUGUCGGGUAAGUUCCGACCUGCACGAAUGGCGUAAUGAUGGCCAGGCUGUCUCCACCCGAGACUCAGUGAAAUUGAACUCGCUGUGAAGAUGCAGUGUACCCGCGGCAAGACGGAAAGACCCCGUGAACCUUUACUAUAGCUUGACACUGAACAUUGAGCCUUGAUGUGUAGGAUAGGUGGGAGGCUUUGAAGUGUGGACGCCAGUCUGCAUGGAGCCGACCUUGAAAUACCACCCUUUAAUGUUUGAUGUUCUAACGUUGGCCCCUAAUCGGGGUUGCGGACAGUGUCUGGUGGGUAGUUUGACUGGGGCGGUCUCCUCCUAAAGAGUAACGGAGGAGCACGAAGGUUGGCUAAUCCUGGUCGGACAUCAGGAGGUUAGUGCAAUGGCAUAAGCCAGCUUGACUGCGAGCGUGACGGCGCGAGCAGGUGCGAAAGCAGGUCAUAGUGAUCCGGUGGUUCUGAAUGGAAGGGCCAUCGCUCAACGGAUAAAAGGUACUCCGGGGAUAACAGGCUGAUACCGCCCAAGAGUUCAUAUCGACGGCGGUGUUUGGCACCUCGAUGUCGGCUCAUCACAUCCUGGGGCUGAAGUAGGUCCCAAGGGUAUGGCUGUUCGCCAUUUAAAGUGGUACGCGAGCUGGGUUUAGAACGUCGUGAGACAGUUCGGUCCCUAUCUGCCGUGGGCGCUGGAGAACUGAGGGGGGCUGCUCCUAGUACGAGAGGACCGGAGUGGACGCAUCACUGGUGUUCGGGUUGUCAUGCCAAUGGCACUGCCCGGUAGCUAAAUGCGGAAGAGAUAAGUGCUGAAAGCAUCUAAGCACGAAACUUGCCCCGAGAUGAGUUCU
rnacentral:rRNA from 1 species